AGUCGAGCGAGAACUUCGGUUCUAGCGGCGGACGGGUUAGUAACGCGUGGGAACGUGCCCUUCACUACGGAAUAGUCCCGGGAAACUGGGUUUAAUACCGUAUACGCCCUUCGGGGGAAAGAAUUUCGGUGAAGGAUCGGCCCGCGUUGGAUUAGGUAGUUGGUGGGGUAACGGCCUACCAAGCCUACGAUCCAUAGCUGGUUUGAGAGGAUGAUCAGCAACACUGGGACUGAGACACGGCCCAGACUCCUACGGGAGGCAGCAGUGGGGAAUCUUAGACAAUGGGGGAAACCCUGAUCUAGCCAUGCCGCGUGAGUGACGAAGGCCCUGGGGUCGUAAAGCUCUUUCACCAGGGAAGAUAAUGACGGUACCUGGAGAAGAAACCCCGGCUAACUCCGUGCCAGCAGCCGCGGUAAUACGGAGGGGGUUAGCGUUGUUCGGAAUUACUGGGCGUAAAGCGCGCGUAGGCUGACUAUUAAGUCAGAGGUGAAAUCCCGGGGCUCAACCCCGGAACUGCCUUUGAUACUGGUAGUCUUGAGUUCGAGAGAGGUAAGUGGAAUUCCGAGUGUAGAGGUGAAAUUCGUAGAUAUUCGGAGGAACACCAGUGGCGAAGGCGGCUUACUGGCUCGAUACUGACGCUGAGGUGCGAAAGUGUGGGGAGCAAACAGGAUUAGAUACC
rnacentral:rRNA from 1 species